GGCUAUACACUGUAAUGAAUUGCUGUAAAAAUUACAGCAAUAUUUUACAGCCGAUGGCUGUAUUUUAAUAAUACAGCAUAUUGCUGUAAAUUGCAAUGAAUUCCGGGGGCGUGGCGGUUUGAAUCAAAUUUACAGAAUAUUGCUGUAAAUUUCAAAUAUACAGAGGCAUUGUGGGAUCUCCAACGGUCAAGAUUCGAGUAGCAGCAAGAGGAGUGAUUUACAACUGUGGUAUUUAUCUGGAGAGAGGAACAAAGACGAAAGGAAAAGUGCCAUCUAAAACAACAGGCAGACAGUUCAGAAGAAACGGGUUGCGUUCAACCUACAUGUGGCCACUCUUCUGUGCAAAGUGAUGGAUUUUCAGUGGAAUUUCUGAAAUCCUCUCUUUGAAUCCUGGGAUGGAACAUCAUCUGGAGCAGAAUUGUUCUUUUUUGAUCAAGUUUGUUGGACUUGUUGUUUGGCCAUGUUGGUAUGUUCAUGAAGUGAUAAAAGUGAUGUGGGUUUUAAGAAAUGUUUUUAUAUGACCCUGUUGGUCAAGUUAUAGUUAUAAUUGUAUUUCUUUGUGUGAAGGGCCAUGAUGGCCAAUAAGUAAUUUAAAAACAUUUUCAUGAUACAAUUUUGUCCCUUUAAAAAAUAAAAUGAUUUUCUAAAUAAAAAAUAAAUUCAAAAUAA